GCUGUGUUCACAGCUCAGUGGUAGAACAUCUGCUUUGCAUGCAGAAGGUCCCAGGUUCAGUCCGCAAAAUCUUUAGAUAGAGCU